GAUCAUGGCUCAGGAUGAACGCUAGCUACAGGCUUAACACAUGCAAGUCGAGGGGCAUCAUGGAGUUGCUUGCAAACUCUGAUGGCGACCGGCGCACGGGUGAGUAACGCGUAUCCAACCUUCCCUAUAGUAGAGGAUAGCCCGGCGAAAGUCGGAUUAAUACUCUAUGUUUUCCGUUGCAGACAUCUAAGAUGGAACAAAGGCUUGCCGCUAUAGGAUGGGGAUGCGUCUGAUUAGGUAGUCGGCGGGGUAACGGCCCACCGAGCCAUCGAUCAGUAGGGGUUCUGAGAGGAAGGUCCCCCACAUUGGAACUGAGACACGGUCCAAACUCCUACGGGAGGCAGCAGUGAGGAAUAUUGGUCAAUGGGCGAGAGCCUGAACCAGCCAAGUAGCCGUGCAGGACGACGGCCCUAUGGGUUGUAAACUGUCUUUUAUGCGGGGAUAAAGUUCACUACGUGUAGUGUUUUGUAGGUACCGCAUGAAUAAGGACCGGCUAAUUCCGUGCCAGCCGCCGC
rnacentral:rRNA from 1 species